rnacentral:misc_RNA from 1 species
AUUUUGGAGGAAGAGGGUUCUGGUGGUGUCAGUGUAAAGGCCAUCGAAUUACGCCAGGAAAAAAUGGGUUCCCAAAAUCUGGGAGUUCAUGCUGACAAUAGUGACAGUGGUUUAACUAAUUUUAACAAUGCUAAUAAGGUACACAGGAAGGUUAGUUUGUCCAAAGAUCCUAGGUCUCAGGCUCGAGAUGUAUUAGUUCCUAGAGAUGACCUUGAUGUUCAUGCCAAUGGAGAUUUGGGGCCUGAACAUCGUAAAUCAGGCAAGAAACAACAUGGGGAAUUGGGCUGUUCUAAAGGAAGCCACAAGCGAAAGAGUUACCAUGAUGUUGAUACACCUGAGGGUGAUGAAAGUAAAUUAAGCGAUUGGGGGAAAUCAGCAUCUUCUGAAAGUGGGGGGGAUAAAUACAAGACUGUGACAGGCUCUGCAUCUCAUGAUAGGUACUAUGAUGAGGUUGUUGCUAGGAGUAGAUCAUUGUCAUGUGAUUUUGCUAGGGAGCGAUCUCAUUCUCAUAGCAUAGUAGAAGAGGAUGUUCUUUCAAAGAAAGGGCGACACAAUGGAAGGGAUGAGAAUGAUUCUGAUGAUGAAAGAAUGUCUCGACAUGAUAGGGGUCUACAGCGUGGUAGUAAAGAUUUGGAGAGGGAGCACAGUACCAGUUACAACAGAAGGCUAGGAGGUGGGGACAAGCAUAGCAGCAGGGAUGCAUGUGGCAGAGAGGUGAACAGGGAGAAGGAGACGGACUGGGAACGGAGAAGGGAUCUGGA